rnacentral:rRNA from 1 species
UACGAAGGGUGCAAGCGUUACUCGGAAUUACUGGGCGUAAAGCGUGCGUAGGUGGUUCGUUAAGUCUGAUGUGAAAGCCCCAGGCUUAACCUGGGAACUGCAUCCGAUACUGGUCGGCUUGAAUCCGGGAGAGGGAUGCAGAAUUCCAGGUGUAGCGGUGAAAUGCGUAGAUAUCUGGAGGAAUACCGGUGGCGAAGGCGGCAUCCUGGACCGGCAUUGACGCUGAACAGCGAAAGCUAGGGGAGCAAACGGG